AGGGCCACAUCACAUUGAAACACCGGUUCACGUACGAUCACCGAAGUUAAGCAACGUCAAGUUUGGUCAGUAGUUAGAUGAAUAACUGCUUGAGAAUAACAGGGGCUGUAAG